rnacentral:Y_RNA from 1 species
GGCUGGCCUGAAGAUAGUGAGUUGUCUCAAUUGAUUAUUCACAGUCAGUUAGAGCAGUAGAACUCCUAGUUUUACUCUUUCUCCCCUUCUAAUUACUGCCCUUGACUAGUCUAAA